rnacentral:rRNA from 1 species
GAUGAACGCUAGCGAUAGGCCUAACACAUGCAAGUCGAGGGGCAUCACAUGAAGUAGCAAUACGGAUGGUGGCGACCGGCGCACGGGUGAGUAACACGUAUGCAACCUGCCUUCAACAAGGGGAUAACCCGUUGAAAGACGGACUAAUACCCUAUAACACAGGGGUCCCGCAUGGGAAUAUUUGUUAAAGGACAACCGGUUGAAGAUGGGCAUGCGUUCCAUUAGCUAGUUGGCGGGGUAACGGCCCACCAAGGCAACGAUGGAUAGGGGAACUGAGAGGUUUAUCCCCCACACUGGUACUGAGACACGGACCAGACUCCUACGGGAGGCAGCAGUGAGGAAUAUUGGUCAAUGGACGCAAGUCUGAACCAGCCACGUCGCGUGAAGGAAGACGGCCCUACGGGUUGUAAACUUCUUUUAUACGGGAAUAAAGUGCCCCACGCGUGGGGUUUGCAUGUACCGUAUGAAUAAGGAUCGGCUAACUCCGUG